rnacentral:rRNA from 1 species
GAGGAACUUGUUCCUCGAGUCGUUGAUUUCACACUGCCGAGAAAAGCCUCUAGCUAGAAUAACGGUGCCCGUACCGCAAACCGACACAGGUAGUCAAGAUGAGAAUUCUAAGGUGAGCGAGCGAACUCUCGUUAAGGAACUCGGCAAAAUGACCCCGUAACUUCGGGAGAAGGGGUGCUCUUUGAGGUUCACGCUUCGAAGAGCCGCAGUGAAUAGGCCCAAGCGACUGUUUAUCAAAAACACAGGUCUCUGCUAAACCGUAAGGUGACGUAUAGGGGCUGACGCCUGCCCGGUGCUGGAAGGUUAAGAGGAGUGGUUAGCGCAAGCGAAGCUACGAAUCGAAGCCCCAGUAAACGGCGGCCGUAACUAUAACGGUCCUAAGGUAGCGAAAUUCCUUGUCGGGUAAGUUCCGACCCGCACGAAAGGCGUAACGAUUUGGGCACUGUCUCAACGAGAGACUCGGUGAAAUCAUAGUACCGGUGAAGAUGCCGGUUACCCGCGACAGGACGGAAAGACCCCGUGGAGCUUUACUGUAGCCUGAUAUUGAAAUUCGGUACAGUUUGUACAGGAUAGGUAGGAGCCUUAGAAGCGUGAGCGCUAGCUUACGUGGAGGCAUUGGUGGGAUACUACCCUAAUUGUAUUGGAUUUCUAACCCGCAGCACUUAUCGUGCUGGGAGACAGUGUCAGGCGGGCAGUUUGACUGGGGCGGUCGCCUCCUAAAGAGUAACGGAGGCGCUCAAAGGUUCCCUCAGAAUGGUUGGAAAUCAUUCAUAGAGUGUAAAGGCAUAAGGGAGCUUGACUGCGAGACCUACAAGUCGAGCAGGGUCGAAAGACGGACUUAGUGAUCCGGUGGUUCCGCAUGGAAGGGCCAUCGCUCAACGGAUAAAAGCUACCCCGGGGAUAACAGGCUUAUCUCCCCCAAGAGUUCACAUCGACGGGGAGGUUUGGCACCUCGAUGUCGGCUCAUCGCAUCCUGGGGCUGUAGUCGGUCCCAAGGGUUGGGCUGUUCGCCCAUUAAAGCGGUACGCGAGCUGGGUUCAGAACGUCGUGAGACAGUUCGGUCCCUAUCCGUCGUGGGCGUAGGAAAUUUGAGAGGAGCUGUCCUUAGUACGAGAGGACCGGGAUGGACAUACCUCUGGUGUACCAGUUGUCGUGCCAACGGCAUAGCUGGGUAGCUAUGUAUGGACGGGAUAAGUGCUGAAAGCAUCUAAGCAUGAAGCCCCCCU